AGUAGUUUGAUCAGUGGCUCAGGACACGCUGGCGGCGUGCCUAACACAUGCAAGUCGAACGGGGGUUUUUGCUUCGGUAGAACCCUAGUGGCGAACGGGUGAGUAACGCGUAGGCAACCUGCCCUCCAGACGGGGACAACAUUCCGAAAGGGGUGCUAAUACCGGAUACGAAGGAGCCAUCGCAUGGUGGUUCUUUGAAAGAUGGCCUCUACAUGUAAGCUAUCGCUGGGGGAUGGGCCUGCGUCCGAUUAGCUGGUUGGUGGGGUAACGGCCUACCAAGGCGACGAUCGGUAGCCGGUCUGAGAGGAUGAACGGCCACAUUGGGACUGAGACACGGCCCAGACUCC
rnacentral:rRNA from 1 species